GAUGAACGCUGGCGGCGUGCCUAAUACAUGCAAGUCGAGCGAGGUUCUUCGGAACCUAGCGGCGGACGGGUGAGUAACACGCGGGUAACCUGCCUGUAAGACCGGGAUAACUUCGGGAAACCGAAGCUAAUACCGGAUAAUUUCGAGCAUCGCAUGAUGUUUGAUGGAAAGAUGGCUUCGGCUGUCACUUACAGAUGGACCCGCGUCGCAUUAGCUAGUUGGUGAGGUAACGGCUCACCAAGGCGACGAUGCGUAGCCGACCUGAGAGGGUGAUCGGCCACACUGGGACUGAGACACGGCCCAGACUCCUACGGGAGGCAGCAGUAGGGAGUCUUCGGCAAUGGGCGAAAGCCUGACCGAGCAACGCCGCGUGAGCGAUGAAGGCCUUCGGGUCGUAAAGCUCUGUUGUUAAGGAAGAACAAGUACGAGAGUAACUGCUCGUACCUUGACGGUACUUAACGAGAAAGCCACGGCUAACUACGUGCCAGCAGCCGCGGUAA
rnacentral:rRNA from 1 species